GGACUCGCAAGACUCCCGUAAACCACUGUGAACUUACCUACAACCCGUUGCCUCGGCGGGUGCUCCGGGCGCGUCUUCGGGCGCUCCGGGGCGCUCCAGCCCGCCGGCGGCCCCUAAACUCUGUCUCUGUAACGUUGGCAUCUCCGAGCAGACUAUAAACGAGUCAAAACUUUCAACAACGGAUCUCUUGGUUCUGGCAUCGAUGAAGAACGCAGCGAAAUGCGAUAAGUAAUGUGAAUUGCAGAAUUCAGUGAAUCAUCGAAUCUUUGAACGCACAUUGCGCCCGCCAGCACUCUGGCGGGCAUGCCUGUCCGAGCGUCAUUUCAACCCUCAGGCCCCGCCUGGCGUUGGAGCCCUGCGCAGCGCAGGCUCCCAAAGACAGCGGCGGGCGCGCCCCGGAACCGAGCGCAGUAAUGCUUUCUCGUUCUGGUCCGGCGCGCGCUCCGGCCGUAAAACCCCCAACUUUCUAAGUGGUUGACCUCGGAUCAGGUAGGAAUACCCGCUGAACUUAAGCAUAUCAAUAAGCGGAGGAAAAGAAACCAACAGGGAUUGCCUCAGUAACGGCGAGUGAAGCGGCAACAGCUCAAAUUUGAAAUCUGGCCCCCCGGCCCGAGUUGUAAUUUGCAGA
rnacentral:rRNA from 1 species